CAGCCUUCCAGGGCUAAAUAACUGGGAAACAUUUCCCUCCUGCUGAGCUCCAACAUGUGCCAGACUUUUAAUUUCCUUUGAAAGGGCUGGGCAUCAUCUUCCUCCCGGACGGCGCUGGGUUCCUGGGAGCGUGGAUACUCCUGAUUGACCAUCACAUCACAUAAAAGAACACAAAACAAUCUGAAAGUCAACCAAGGAAACAGUAAUCAAGAAUAAUUCUGAGUAGAUGCAAUUUCUACUUUAUGCAUGACUGUAAACCUUCACUUCAUUGAACUAGACCAGCCACCAGUAAGAAGCCCUGUGACCUUGCUGAGACCCUGAAGAGACCACAUGGAGGGGCCACUUGAAGGCAAGGGGUCCUGACUCUACAAUGGAAAGAGAAGCCCAGUCAUCCCUGUUUCCCAGCUGAGUCUUGACCAGAUAACUUGCCACAAGACUGACUACAGGCGAGAAUAGCAGAAGAGCUGCCCAGCUGAGCCCAUCCUAGAUUAUAGAAUUUCAAGCAAGUAAAAUGACUCAUGUUGUAAGCCAC